GGGCAAGUCUGGUGCCAGCAGCCGCGGUAAUUCCAGCUCCAAUAGCGUAUAUUAAAGUUGUUGUGGUUAAAAAGCUCGUAGUUGAACCUUGGGCCUGGCUGGCCGGUCCGCCUCACCGCGUGUACUGGUCCGGCCGGGCCUUUCCCUCUGUGGAACCCCAUGCCCUUCACUGGGUGUGGCGGGGAAACAGGACUUUUACUGUGAAAAAAUUAGAGUGCUCCAGGCAGGCCUAUGCUCGAAUACAUUAGCAUGGAAUAAUAGAAUAGGACGUGUGGUUCUAUUUUGUUGGUUUCUAGGACCGCCGUAAUGAUUAAUAGGGACAGUCGGGGGCAUCAGUAUUCAAUUGUCAGAGGUGAAAUUCUUGGAUUUAUUGAAGACUAACUACUGCGAAAGCAUUUGCCAAGGAUGUUUUCAUUAAUCAGGAACGAAAGUUAGGGGAUCGAAGACGAUCAGAUACCGUCGUAGUCUUAACCAUAAACUAUGCCGACUAGGGAUCGGACGAUGUUAAAAAUUGACUCGUUCGGCACCUUACGGGAAAC
rnacentral:rRNA from 1 species